CGGGACGGGUGAGUAACGCGUGGGUAACCUACCCUGUACAGGGGGAUAACAGUCAGAAAUGACUGCUAAUACCGCAUAAGACCACAGCACCGCAUGGUGCAGGGGCAAAAACUCCGGUGGUACAGGAUGGACCCGCGUCUGAUUAGCUGGUUGGUGAGGUAACGGCUCACCAAGGCGACGAUCAGUAGCCGGCUUGAGAGAGUGAACGGCCACAUUGGGACUGAGACACGGCCCAA
rnacentral:rRNA from 1 species